GAAAGUAGAGGUUGCGCGAAGCAUCAGUAGGGCGCCGGAUGUCUCCAGAGACAGAGGAUGGCGCUUGAAAGGGCGGGCGCCGAAGGCCGCAGGGAACUGGGAUCUGCCGCCUGGGCAUCCGGUGAAGAACCGGAUGACUGUCAUCCUGGCGGAUGGAGAGCUACUU
rnacentral:ncRNA from 1 species